rnacentral:rRNA from 1 species
AUGGCGGCGACGGCGACGAAGCUGAGCAGCGGCCACGAGAUGCCGGCCGUGGGGCUCGGCGUCUGGCGGAUGGACUCCGCCGCCGUCCGCGGCCUCAUCCACUCCGCCCUCCGCGCCGGCUACCGCCACUUCGACUGCGCCGCUGACUACAAAAACGAGGCUGAGGUUGGCGAUGCGCUCGCGGAGGCAUUCAAAACUGGGCUUGUCAAGAGGGAGGAUCUUUUCAUCACUACCAAGUUGUGGAACUCAGAUCACGGCCAUGUGGUCGAAGCCUGCAAGGAUAGCCUGAAGAAGCUGCGAUUGGAUUAUCUAGAUCUCUACCUUAUUCACUUCCCUGUAGCUACUAAGCAUACUGGAGUCGGCACAACUGGCAGUGCUCUUGGUGAUGAUGGCGUGCUUGAUAUCGAUACCACUAUCACAUUGGAGACAACGUGGCAUGCAAUGGAAGAUCUUGUUUCCAUGGGACUUGUUCGUAGCAUCGGAAUUAGCAACUACGACAUCUUCCUCACCAGAGACUGCUUGGCCUACGCUAAGAUAAAGCCCGCGGUGAACCAAAUCGAGACACACCCUUACUUCCAGCGCGACUCUCUUGUGAAGUUCUGCCAGAAGCAUGGAAUCUCUGUCACCGCACAUACACCCCUGGGCGGCUCCACUGCCAACACCGAAUGGUUCGGCUCGGUCUCAUGCCUCGACGAUCCUGUCAUCAAGUCCCUGGCUGAGAAAUACGGCAAGACGCCGGCCCAGCUGGUCCUCCGGUGGGGCCUCCAGAGGAACACGGUGGUCAUCCCCAAGACCUCCAAGGUAGAGAGGCUGGAGGAGAACUUUGCGGUCUUCGACUUCGACAUCUCCGCCGAGGACAUGGAGAAGAUCAAGGCCCUCGAUCGCAACUACCGCACCAACCAGCCGGCCAAGUUCUGGGGCAUCAACCUCUACGCUUGA